ACUAUACCAUUACACAAGAAGGACAAGCCUCAAUUCACCUUCUCUGUGCCUUCUAUUAAUCAGAGAGAGCCUGUCUCUUGUGAUCAAUGAAAAGUUUUAUUACCCCAGGCAUGCUCAACAGUCCUACGUUAUGUCAGCAUUUUGUAGGAAAAGCAUUGAAGGAGCCUCGGAAUAUGUUUUCCACCACCUACAUCAUUCAUUAUAUGGAUAAUAUUGUUUUGGCCACUCCUACAGAUCAAGUAUUAUACCAGUUAUUCAGAGAAAUAAAAUGGGCUUUAACUAAAUGGAAUCUCAAAAUAGCUCCUGAAAAGGUACAAACAACCUCCUCAUACCAAUACUUAGGUACUACUCUUACUGAAAAAAGUAUUCAGCCUCAGAAAGUAGCUCUUCGUAAGAACAAAUUGCAAACUCUGAAUAACUUCCAACAGUUAUUAGGGGAUAUUAAUUGGCUGCGCCCAAUGCUAGGUAUUGCUUCUUAUCAACUCACUCAUGUUUAUCAAACCCUCCAAGGAGAUUCUUCAUUAGAUUCCCCUCGGCAACUUACUAAGGAGGCAGAAGCUGAAUUACAGCUUGUAGAAAGAUGCUUCGGCAACGACAUGCCUCCUGGCUACAACCACAAAAGUCUUUGCUUUUGUUUAUUCUUCCUACCCCCCAUUCUCCAUCAGGACUUUUAGCUCAAUUCAUAGACAAAACUAUAAUGGUAAUAGAAUGGCUUUUUUUAUCCAGUCAAACAGUAAAAUCUUUGCAAGUUUAUCUUGCUUUAGUCACACAACUUAUAAUAAUAGGCAGGCAUAGAUCAAAAAUGCUUACAGGAUAUGAUCCUGAUAAAAUUAUUGUUACCUUGGAUUCCCAACAACAGGCUGCGGCCUGGGAGAUGUCCACUGCACGGCAAAUCACUUUCGCAGAUUUUGUAGAAAUAAUAGAUAACCAUUAUCCAUCAGACAAAAUUUUGCAGUUUUAUAAAAUUCACCCUUUUAUUCCCCCUGUGAUUGCUCAUCACAAACCCAUUUCAGGUGGACAGACCUAUUUUACCGAUGGCUCUUCCAAAAGCCACACAGCCAUUUAUGGACCUAAACAUACUUAAAUAAUAAAGACCCCUAGAGUUUCAGCUCAACACUCUGAAUUAAUGGCAGUUAUUCAAGUUUUAAAGCUCACAGCUUUAUUUCCUAUUAAUAUUGUCUGUAAUUCAGCCUAUGUCGUAAAUGUAGCUAGUUGCAUUAAAACUGCCACUAUCAAGAGUGUACGGACCAGCCCCACAGGGUCGGUGGGUCUCUCCCUGUGUGCGGCGACGAGAGAGUGUAGAAAUAAAGACAUAAGACAAAGAGAUAAAAGGCAGCUGGGCCUGGGGGACCACUACCACCAAUGCGCGGAGACCGGUAGUGGCCCCGAAUGUCUGGCUGUGCUCUUAUUUAUUGGAUACAAAGCAAAAGGGGCAGGGUAAAGAGUGUGAGUCAUCUCCAAUGAUAGGUAAGGUCACGUGGGUCAUGUGUCCACUGGUCAGGGGGCCCUUCCCUGCCUGGCAGCUGAGGCAGAGAGAGAGAGGAGACAGAGAGAAAGACAGCUUGCGCCAUUAUUUCUGCAUAUCAGGGACUAUUAGUACUUUCACUAAUUUACUACUGCUAUCUAGAAGGCAGAGCCAGGUGUACAGGAUGGAACAUGAAGGUGGACUAGGAGCGUGACCACCGAAGCACAGCAUCACAGGGAGACGGUUAGGCCUCCGGAUAACUGUGGGCGAGCCUGACUAAUGUCAGGCCCUCCACAAGAGGUGGAGGAGCAGAGUCUUCUCUAACCUCCCCCAGGGAAAGGGAGACCCCCCCUCCUUUCCCGGUCUGCUAAGUAGCGGGUGUUGUUCCUUGACACUUUUCGCUACCGCUAGACCACGGUCUUCCCAAACGCUGGCGUCACCGCUAGACCAAGGAGCCCUCUAGUGGCCCUGUCUGGACAUAACAGAAGGCUCGCACUCUUGUCUUCUGGUCACUUCUCACUGUGUCCCCUCAGCUUCUAUCUCUGUAUGGCCUGGUUUUUCCUAGGCUAUGAUUAUAGAGCGAGGAUUAUUGUAAUAUUGGAAUAAAAAUUAAUUGCUACAAACUAAUGAUUAAUGAUAUUCAUAUAUAAUCAUAUCUAAGAUCUAUAUCUGGUAUAACUAUUCUUGUUUUAUAUGUUAUUAUACUGGAACAGCCCGUGUCCUCUGUCUCUUGCUUCGGCGCCUGGGUGGCUUGCCGCCCACACAAGAGCACCUUAAAACCAGAACUGCUUAACCUAUUUCUGAGACUCCAAAAAGCUGUUCGCUCUCAUGCUGCCCCUUUUCAUAUUUCUCAUAUCCGAUCUCACACACAACUUCCUGGGGCCACUAUCUCUAGGUAAUGAUAGAGCAGAUAAAUUCAUCAGUUCUAUAUUUCAACAAGCCCAAGCUUCCCAUGCUUUACUGCAUCAGAACAACUUGCCCUUACUCGUAUGUUUCAUCUGCCUCGCAGCCAGGCUUGAGUUAUUGUGCAAGCCUACCCCACUUGCCAGCAUGUCCCUGGUGUUGCACCUGUGGAAGGAUGCAACCCACGAGGCUUGGCUCCAAAUGAAAUCUGGCAGAUGGAUGUUACAUAUAUAUAGCAGCCUUUGGCAAACUCCGCUAUGUUCAUGUAAUAUAGACACUUACUCCCAUAUAUUACAUGCCACAUGCCAAACUGGAGAAACAGCUGGUCAUGUCUGACGAUACUGUCUGUCGUCAUUUGCCCAUAUGGGGGUCCCUAAACAAUUUAAAACUGACAGUAGACUCGCUUAUGUUAGUCAUGCUUUCCCAAUUUUUUACAAUUGUGGGCAAUCAAUCAUAAAACAGGAAUUCCAUACAAUCCCUGAGGACCAGGCAUUAUUGAGCGGGUACAUCAAACACUACAACGCAUGCUGAAAAAACAAAAAGGGAGAAUAGGGGACCAAUUACCACUUCAAACAAAAUUACAUUUAGCCUUGUUUACUUUAAAUUGUUUGACUCCUGGUACGGAUGGCAAGACCCCAACAGAACGACACUGGCAACUGCUAGAGGAAAAGAGGCAAGUUUAUCCAAAAGUGUUAUGGAAAUCCCCAGAAGAAGGACAAUGGAAAGGUCCGGUGGAUUUGCUGACGUGGGGACGAGGGUAUGCUUGUGUUUUUACAGGAGAUGGACAAACCGUGUGGGUGCCCUCCAGGUGUGUGUGACCAUGGAACGGGAGACCGGAGGGAUCCGUGGUAUUCAACCGUGGGCCUGUUACCUCCAGUACAAGCCAUGAGCCAGCGGAAUCUGAAUGCAAAGACAGAACAAGGGCCGACCGGAGUCACAAUGACAUCCAACCCCAUAACAUGGGGACAGAUCAAGAAAACGACACAGGAAGCUGAGAAACUACUGGAGCGCCAGGGUCAGGCAAAAACCCCUGACUCCAUGUUCUUGGCCAUGCUAGCUGUAGUGUCCUGUGCGUCUAUAGGAUCGGGUGAACCACCAACCGGCAAUUGAAAGCUGCACAGCCUGAAAUUACCUUUAUUCAAUUAAUGCAAAAACAAAAGGGGAGAUGUUGGAGGCCGAAGGAAUGAGGGUCGUGACCAACUCAGUAUACCACUGGAGGCUCUGUGAGCAAACAGCAAACUGUUCUCAUGAAAGCAGGAUGUUGGCGAACUGACAAACUCUGUCUGCCGCCAGAAGGAAUGCUGGGGGCAGUCAUGUCCCAGGUCCCCUGCUCCUUGAGGUUAUCCACAGGAACAUCCAGAACCUGUUGAACAAAGAAAGGAAUCAUGUGGGCCUGUGUUAAAUCAAAUAGCUGACUGACAGUUAUCCCUUCCUCCCUAUUCACUCUACCUAAUAAAUACGAAGGGCUGUAAAAGCUCAGGUCCCUGUUCCCUAGAAUCAAGGAGCCCCCUGACCCCUUCUUUCAAACAG
rnacentral:sRNA from 1 species